UACGAAGGGGGCUAGCGUUGCUCGGAAUCACUGGGCGUAAAGCGCACGUAGGCGGAUUGCUAAGUCAGGGGUGAAAUCCUGGGAGCUCCAACUCCAGAACUGCCCCUUGAUACUGGCGGUCUCGAGUCCGGGAGAGGUCGAGUGGAACUGCGAGUGUAGAGGUGAAAUUCGUAGAUAUUCGCAAGAACACCAGUGGCGAAGGCGG
rnacentral:rRNA from 1 species